GGCGCCUUUAGCAUUGGAAAGCUAGUGAUUUUUGUAGAUGAACUAUGUAGUACAAUGUAAGUUAAAGAGGCCUCUAAUAUCUGGAUGAAGUGGACGUUCUGAGGCAACAAAUUUUAAAACAGACUCAAUGAUAUGUGAAAAUAUUUAUUUUCUGUUAAUGGCUACAAGUAUGGCAGAUGCCAUUUAUCUAGUUAACAAUAUAGUCUGUGUACUACGAAAAACUAGACUCUGUACAAUAGAUGUAAUUGUCUCCCUUUGUAACAGAUGGUGUUAUUUCCCCUUAAUAACAAUGCUGUAGUUCUUCUGAGGUCUGACCUUCAAACAACCAAUCAAAAUGGUUAAAGUAUGACAUAUACUAAAAUAAGAUGCAAUCUUUUGUGAAAAGUGAAGAAAAAAAUAUUUAAAAAUGAUGAGUAUAAUUUCAAAUGACCUUUCCUAAUACUGAAUUUUGAAUCAUAUUCUAAAUUUUUAUUAUAAAUUUGAAAAAUUGUUUGCAAGCAAAAAAAUACAGUAUAGAUAUGUUUCCUAAAAGCGAUAGCGUAAAUAUUGAAUGAAUCUGCGAUGAAAUGAGCCUAGAUCAGAGAAUAAAAAGAACACCCUGUACUUGUAAAUAAUGCGUGCCAUUUGAAGGUCAGGCCCUCCAUCAGACGUAAACAUGAAAAGUAAUAUAAAAAGAAUAAUGAGUAACAAAAAUGACAUAACAAACAAAAAAUAUAUAUGAACAAUAGAAUAUAGAGAAACUACUAUAUAUAAGAUAGACAUAUAUAAAUUUUUACAUAAAUUUAGGAUCCUCUUCUGUAGAUCAAAAUGUAUAAUACUUCAGAAAAAAAUGUAAUUCAUACUUCCCAGAAAAAAUAUUAUUUCCAAAUUAUCUCCCUUUUUUGUCUAAUCACAUGGCCCCUUACAACAUAAUAAAAAAAACUCAGAACCGGUAAAGAACUGUUUUAUCACACUUUAUCUGGAAUAUUUUUGUCACCAAAUAAAAACAAGCACCUGUUUUAGUUAUUUUUCUUCGAAAUUUUACUUCAUCUUCUGGUAUUAGUUCCUGUUAAUGCUAAUAGAUUUUGAAUGACUGCCUUUAACAAAUGUCACUUCUACUUGAAGCUAAUGUUAACAAAUAUAAAAUAAAUGUUUCAUAAUAUGAGUCACUAGAAUGUUCUAGCCAUAAUAAAAAAAUCUAAUACAAAAAAUAAAUAGAUUUUUGAAAAAUUUCUAACAGAAAAGUGACUUCAUUAGUUUAUCUCGAACAUUUCUUAUUUCAUUGACAAAUAAUUAAAACAUUUUCAAACUUUCUUUCUUUUUCUUAAUCUAUUUUUAAAACUAAUGUGCACCAAAAAAGGAACCAACUAUUAUUCUAAAACAAUUUGAAAACCAAAUAAAGUAAAUCUUAGUUUCAAUUAAAUUACAUUUACGAAAUUAUAAUCUAACACCUAAAAUAUUCUAGAAGUCAUUCAAAACCCACCAUCAUCAACAGAAAACCUUUUAAAAAAAUUAGAAAAAACAAAAACAAUCAAGAAGCUUCUUCUUUCAACUGGAUUCAGUUCUAAAACAAAACAUUAACAACUUGUGUCUGGUAUCUAAAAUAUAUAUACAACAAGCAGGACUUGAAUAUAAACACAUUCUCACUGAAUUAUAGUCCUUUCUAUACAUACAACUUCAAAAUGGUGAACAAUUCAAAAUUUAAACCAGUAAUUAUUUUACUGUAAAAGCAUGAUUGUCUCCCUUACACUGAUUAACAGAUUUUGUAGUUUGUUGUGUUACUUUUUCUAAAAUGAAAAUCUUCUUGUUUAUACAUAUAUACACAGUACUUAAACAUAUAUAUUGUUUUUUCUAUGUUUUGCUGUAAAAGUUCACCAAAAAAAAAAAAUUAUUCUACUUGAAACUUUUGAAUUAUUGACCAUUUUGAUUUCAAUUCUGAUGUAUUUCUUAACUCCUUAGCAACAAUACCACCAACAAAAAUUACAGCUGAUCCCAUUAUAAUUGGUCUACAUUUGCACAGUAAAACCUUACCCUCAAAUUCACCUCAGCGGCAACAUGUGUCAAGGUCAAAAUAAUUCUUUACAUGUAAACAUUGUCACAGACUCUGCAGCCAACAUAUGUAUACCGUUAACAGAUAUGUGUUUGAAAUGUUGCUUUUUAUAUCCUUACAUUUCUAAAUCCUAAAAUAUCCUACCAAACAUUCAAAGCCAAAUGACCAUGACUAAUGCAAGGUUAUUUUUGCUGGGAAAGAGUAAAAAAAUGUUUUGAGAACCUCCUAUAAAGUUGAAGUCUUACAAUGAGACAGCUUGUAAACCGUAUGUUUGCAAAUAAUAUUUUACGUAAAUUUGGUACUUUUUAAAAAAUAUUUCAAGACAAAAUUUCAAUUCUU
rnacentral:lncRNA from 1 species